UACGGGGGGAGCAAGCGUUGUUCGGAUUUACUGGGCGUAAAGGACGCGUAGGCGGCGUGACAAGUCGCUUGUGAAAUCUCCGGGCUUAACUCGGAGCUGCCAGGCGAUACUGUCAUGCUAGAGUGCGGAAGGGGCAACUGGAAUUCUCGGUGUAGCGGUGAAAUGCGUAGAUAUCGAGAGGAACACCUGCGGCGAAGGCGGGUUGCUGGGCCGACACUGACGCUGAUGCGCGAAAGCCAGGGGAGCGAACGGG
rnacentral:rRNA from 1 species